AGGUUGAUUCCAGCGAUGUGGUGUCUCACAGAUACUGCAAGGGGCUAAUAGUAACAGCUAGCUCUGUGCUUUUCUGGAUGUUCUGCAAGACCUCCUGGGACAGAACAGGAGACUGCAAGUGAUAGGAGGAAUGACAAAGCAAUAAGUAUAAUUAUUCCUUUGCUUCUUGAAGAUGCUCAGAAGAAAAUCUAAUUUAGCAAUGUCUGGAGGAGCCCCUGACUUAUGCUUGAGGUUUGUAGGACUUAAACUAGGACUGAAUGCUUUUUAAAAAAAAAUAGGGGGGGACCCAAACAAAAUGGAGUGUGCAAUGUAACAGCAGCACCUCACCCAGAGCUGCAGUGCUGAACAUGGCAUCACAUUGAAACCAGCUGGUUUUAAAUGGAUUCUGGUACAGUGUGAGCUCACUCUCACUCAAAGCCUCUCCCUUGCUGUGCCCAAACUGCAGCUGUGCUGGGGUAUGGGGUGCGUGCUUUCUCCCUGCCAUGACGGACACUCUAGGGCCUUCAGCCUCAUUGAAAAACAAGGGGCACACAGCAGAAUACUUUAAAAUGGCUGGUACUUCUCCAUAUAGACUUACUGCCCUCCCGUGGCUGCCAAGGAGCAUCUCUAAUGCAGAAACAGGGAGACCAGGGACUGAGGGAAACAAAGAAAAAUAACUAUAUAUUCAAUUUAAACCAAAACACAAUUUGAGUUACAAGGAAGAGGAAGGCAAACACACUGUGUGAUUAACUGGAAGUACCUAGGAAGGCAAGAACAAAGCAGAGAAAUUUACUGGUUUGGGAGUAGCAGGGAGACCUCCAAAUACUUUGUUUUGCAAGGACAGUGGGCCUUGAGCUAUUCUUCACCAGAGUCCCAUCAACAAGUGCCAUUUACUCAGAGAGAUGGCCCAUCUAACUUCAUCCCAUUGCCCCACGGAGGAGACUUCGCUAGCAACUGGUGCAAAGAAGGAGACAACAUUUCUAGCACAGAUUGACGCCUUUCUGAGGGACUUCCCUUAAGAGCCUGAAGUUAGGUUUUAUGAAUGAGACCUGGAGUAUCCGAUGAGAACUGCUGUGGAAGCACUGCAUGGGUCUGCAAGGAGUGUCCUGUUUCUUGUACUUUCUUUAUGACUGUGCUGCUUCUUGUGCACCCUCUGUGGGCAGAAUGCAUCUCCAGUCUUUGAUGCACAGUAGACACUUUAAACAAAACAACCCCGAAGCAAUCAAAACCAAAAGCAACAAUGAAGUGGCAAGAGGAAACACAGCAAUAAGCACAAGCAGCAAUUGUGUGGUCAGAAGGUAACAAUGCCAAACUGGUUGAAUUGCACAUGAUUCUAACAGAGGCACUAAAUGCUGCAAGGAGGCUGCAUAUCUCCCACCAAUGAAAAGCUUGGGUUUACAUUAGGCAGGCUUACCACUACGUUUUUGUUCGUGGACUUAGCUUCAGUCUUAAACAUUAGAGAUUGGUGUGCCCAAGCCACAUUUGAGACUAGAUGCAAUGAGACACUCAUUUUAGACUGGAGAGGAGGAGCGGGUGUGACAGGGAUCAUGUAGGAAAAUGCCAACACAUGGCACCUCCUAUAGGACUUCAGGCUGUUGAGUGACACCUGCAUCAAGAUGGGCGUCACCCCAGCCUACCUGACAGCUGUGCUUUUUCAGGGAUGCGCAUCAGUGGGAGUAUUAGGAUUUCUUCAGGAUGAAAGAGACUGCAGUUCGGAAGAGCAUGCAGCAAGUUGAAAACAGUGAAUGAACAUAAUAGACAGACAAAUGCUUUGCUCAUUCAAGUUGCCAGGUCACUGAGUCAGUAUCUCAUGUAGUAGCCAACUAAGGAGUAGAGUAAAUCCUGCCCUCUCCAUUU